rnacentral:rRNA from 1 species
CCUACGGGGGACAGCAGUGAGGAAUAUUGGUCAAUGGGCGAGAGCCUGAACCAGCCAAGUCGCGUGAGGGAGUACUGCCCUAUGGGUUGUAAACCUCUUUUGUCGGGGAGCAAAAGCCGGACGUGUCCGGCUGUGAGAGUACCCGAAGAAAAAGCAUCGCCUAACUCCGUGCCAGCAGCCGCGGUAAUACGGAGGAUGCGAGCGUUAUCCGGAUUUAUUGGGUUAAAAGGGUGCGCAGGCGGAUUUUUAAGUCAGCGGUAAAAUCGUGGGGCUCAACCCCGUCCAGCCGUUGAAACUGGGGAUCUAGAGUGUGGGAGAGGUAUGCGGAAUGCGUGGUGUAGCGGUGAAAUGCAUAGAUAUCACGCAGAACACCGGUUGCGAAGGCAGCAUACCGGUGCACAACUGACGCUCAGGCACGAAAGCGUGGGUAUCGAACAGGAUUAGAUACCCGGGUAGUC